rnacentral:rRNA from 1 species
UACGAAGGGGGCUAGCGUUGCUCGGAAUCACUGGGCGUAAAGCGCACGUAGGCGGAUUGCUAAGUCAGGGGUGAAAUCCUGGAGCUCAACUCCAGAACUGCCUUUGAUACUGGCGACCUUGAGUCCGGGAGAGGUGAGUGGAACUGCGAGUGUAGAGGUGAAAUUCGUAGAUAUUCGCAAGAACACCAGUGGCGAAGGCGGCUCACUGGCCCGGUACUGACGCUGAGGUGCGAAAGCGUGGGGAGCAAACAG